UUAAUCGGUUUGUUUCGUCGUCGCUCUUUUCGAACGAUCGAUCGAUCGAUCGACUGGCGGACGACUUAUCGGGACGACCUUCGAUUCGACGAUUUUAAACGCGUACAGAAAAUCGUGGGGAGAAUUUUAAUGAUCCGAGAGGGAGGAGUUAAGAGGCGACAGAUCGGAAUGUAGAAUUUGGAGGGAAAGUUUCUCUUCUCUUUUACUUAUAUAUAUGUACACGAGUAUACACGAUUCCAAGAAACAUCUUGCCUCUCCCUCCCUUUCCCAAGGGUUCGUUUGUAGGAAAAGUGAAUCAAACAAAACGGUGAGAACGUUUGCACAGGUGGACAUCUCUUGGAGGCAUUUCCUUCUUCUUCUUUUUUUCUUUUUUUCUAUUUCGAGAUAAAAAAAAAACCCUUUUCUCGCAGCGAUAUUACUACCUCUUCGUUUCCCAAAAAAUUGUCGGGCUUAUCGCGAGCAACAGGUUAACAGGUUCGGUCGGAGAUAUUGUAGGUAGUGUGACGUUAAAAUGUUCACACUUCCAAGUCUGGUUCUCAGCGGCAACGCGCAUUCUGCACGGCUGCCCUUUCCGGCACCACUAUCUUGGAUCGGCGCCUUUGUACGUGACAUUCUCGACGCGUGUACCGGCCAAGGAGGUGAGAUUCCCGUCCACGGAGACGAAAGAUCGAUUCUAGCUUUGACAAUGCUGACUGCGGCCACCGUCUCCUCUACCCACGUGCCCGACAAGUAUCCCAUCGAAGUGUAUCAUAUGCUACGGGAGAAGACUCAAUUCGCUCUUGGACGAGAUAAUCGUAUUAGAGGAACUUGGGGUCCGUGGAGUUCGUGGAGCGAGUGCUCGCGUACCUGUGGCACGGGGAUCCAAUCCCAAUCCCGUGAAUGCGUUCCCUAUCAGCGACUGUUAAGGAAGCGGAGCAUUAUCUCGGAGAAUGGCACGAGCAACUCGCGACCCAUUUGCAUCGGUACAUAUAAGCGAUACCACACGUGCAACACGCAGAAAUGUCCGAACUUCCCGGAGGAUUUGCGGGCCGAACAAUGUGCCAAGUACAACGGAAGAAAUUACAAGGGCGAGAGUUACGAUUGGGUCCCGUUUUUGGAUGCACCGAAUUCUUGCGCGCUCAAUUGCCGUGCCGUUGGCGAGCCUUUUUACGCAACGCUUGAACCGGCAGUAAUGGACGGCACACCCUGCGACGCUCCGAAUCUUCGUGGAUAUAAUGCUGGAAUUUCUAUGGAACGCACCGAUCGAUGGCUCUGUGUCGCUGGACAAUGCAAGCCCGUGGGUUGCGACGGUGUGGUAGGUUCCGGCGUCACGAUGGACGCUUGUGGUGUCUGCGGUGGUCAGGGUAAAGGUUGUAGACUGUACGAGGGCAUUUUUAUGGAACCAAUCCUGCCACGGGGUCAUCAACCUGUAACCAGUAUUCCGAAAGGAGCCAUGUCCCUCAACAUAUCCGAACUACGGCACAGUAGCAAUUUCUUAGCGUUGAGAGACGGCAACGGUAGUUACAUCCUGAACGGACCCUUGGCUUACAGUCCAAGCGGCACUUAUAAAGCGGCUGGCACGACAUUAACAUACCAGAGGGGUGACAGAAACCGCAUGGAGUGUAUCUUGGCGACCGGGCCACUGAACGAUUCUUUGCAUUUAGAGAUUCUGGCACAGGAAAUGAAUCCUGGAGUACUUUACAAAUACAUGAUGCCGUUCAAUGGAAAGCCAUUAAUAGCACCGCCACUUUUUGCGACAGGAUCCAUCGAUCGUGGCAACGAGAUCCCUGAUUCGGAUGCGCGUGUUGGUCACACGAUUCCCGUAACCAGAAUAUCCAAUCAGAAAACCGAUUUAUUACCGACGAUUCGCAAUCAAGAUCGAGCACGAGGCCGUGAGAGAGGACGAAAGGAGGAGAUGAAGCAUUCCCCGACUACGGUGAUGGCCGGUGAUCAACCGAAGUUAAAGGGCAAGAAAAAGAAACGUGCGCGGUUCGCCUGGAAGAUGUUUGGAUUGACUCCUUGUUCCAAAGAAUGUGGAGGAGGCGUUCAGACAGCGAUCUUCAAGUGCUUCCGCGAGACCAAGCAGAUGAUCGUGAACGACAAGCGUUGUCGCAACGUGGGAAAGCCGCAACACCCGCCUCCGUUGCGUUGCAACGACAAACCUUGUCCACCCAGGUGGAGGGCCGAAUCGUGGAGCGAGUGCUCGGUCACCUGCGGCACCGGCACGAGAACACGAAAAUUGGAGUGUGUGCAGGAACUGAAAGCGAACCUAACGAUGCGAGUGUUAGACGGUGCGUGUGUACAACCGCCCGACCUUAGAACCGUGGAAACCUGUGCGAAACCGGCUUGCACGAACAGUCCGGAAUUGAGGCAUAUGCACUCUCAACACGACACACCCAGAUGGGACGUCGGCGCCUGGGGUCCUUGCUCGACGACGUGUGGGAUGGGAAUUCGAAAUCGAACAGUGACUUGCAUCACGUCGGGAAGUGUUUGUCCCGCGUUCAACAAACCCGAAUCUCAGAAAAUCUGCGAAUCCCCGCCUUGUACCGCGCACAACACUGGUAUGGAGCAACGAGCGCCUUGGCUCUACUCGGAAUGGUCGGCCAAGUGUUCGGCAGAAUGUGGUAGCGGAGUGGAAACGAGGCAAGUAGCUUGCGCCGAUGUCAGCGAGUUGUUCUGCAAUCCCAAAGAGAGGCCGGAAACGGAAAGGGAAUGUUACGGAAGAGGAAGGAAUUGCGAUAGCGCGAAAUGGUUCACCGGUCCAUGGACAUUGUGUUCCGUGUCUUGUGGAGUGGGUGUCCAGUAUCGAGAAGUGCUUUGCGUCGCAAGGACGAACAACGAAUUCGUCGUGUUGCCGGCGAGCAAUUGCAGCGGCUCGAGGCCAGCAAACGAACAAGUAUGCAGAGCGGCCGCGUGCACGCCGACAUGGUUCACCUCGGACUGGUCGAAGUGCUCGGUGACAUGCGGUACCGGCGUGCAAACCAGACUGGUUCGUUGUAUUCUCGAAGGUGUGAGCAGCUCGAAUUGCGAAGAUGCUGCGAAACCGAGCGACCAACAGCAAUGCAGCCUGGAGCCAUGCAAAAAGGAUCCUACGUCGUCGAUCAAACCGCCGAAAAAAGCGUACGAAGCAUCGUCGGAAUGCGUUGACAAGCAUCCAGAUUGCUCGGUGGUGGUGAAGAAUGGUUAUUGCCGGAUCAAAUAUUACAAGUAUUCGUGCUGUCGAUGCCGCGAAUAAUCGUUCGACAGCCGAGGACGAGUCAUCGUUUCAGUUUAUUCGACAUUUGCACACAAUAACAGCUGCCGAUCUAAAAUACAAAUACUGCAUGCGUGUACAAAAACAGUUCCUCCGAUUUAACUAUAUUAUCGAUUUCAUCGAACGUAUCUGAUUACACGAUUAAACGAUUAAUUUGGCAAUGACUUUUUUUUCUUUUUUUAUCAAAUUGAAUAAAAAAAACACAAUUGUUCGACCGAACCUCAACUCUUACGAUAGAUCUGUGAAUUGCACUAAGUGAUUGUGGAUAUGAAAAAGCAUGAAAUAAAUAUUUGUAUGAAAGAAGAGGUACAUUUGAACUAUAGAUCUCCACAAAAAAAAUGCAAGAAAGAAUGAUAAAAUCAUGAUGCAUCAUAUUGUCAUGCAUAACUAGUUAUCGCUGUGUUCAUAUCAAGUUACUUUAAUAGAUUUUGUGUGUUCAGAGAAAUUAACACUCAAAUAUCAUCACAGAUCAUCAUUACAUAUAUUGCUAUACAUUAUAUAUAUGUAUAUAUUUAUCAAACAAGAUUUUUAAAAAUAAUUUUAUGUAUACAUGCGAGUAGCCUUAAAUGAGAGUUACUGUAAAUUUGUAAUAAUUCUGGUGCCGUUUAAUAUAAUCAAUAAAAAAAUCAAUUUUAUAAAGUAAUAAUAAAUAAAAAUUACAUUUUAAAUGAUGCUCAAACUGUUACAAAUAAUUUUAAGUAGUAUACAUGAAGUAUUGAAUAAGAAUUUGUUCUGACACAAUUUGUGGUAUAUACAACUACAGUGAAAUAAAAAUGUUUUAAUGUCUAAGAAGAGGAUGCACAACAAUCAGGAGAGAUUAUGUUCUGUGAUUAUAGUGUUGUGCAGAAUUACUCGAGUUUACAUACCAUGUAUGACUGACAAAUGAGUUAAUUCUAAUAUAUUUUUCCAUGGAGAGAAUAUGUUAAUGUGAUUACUUCUUAAGAAAUUUCGGAUAAGGCUCCAUUUUGGAGGGGGAAAAAAAA
rnacentral:misc_RNA from 1 species